GAUGAACGCUGGCGGCGUGCCUAAUACAUGCAAGUCGAGCGAACGGACGAGAAGCUUGCUUCUCUGAUGUUAGCGGCGGACGGGUGAGUAACACGUGGAUAACCUACCUAUAAGACUGGGAUAACUUCGGGAAACCGGAGCUAAUACCGGAUAAUAUUUUGAACCGCAUGGUUCAAAAGUGAAAGACGGUCUUGCUGUCACUUAUAGAUGGAUCCGCGCUGCAUUAGCUAGUUGGUAAGGUAACGGCUUACCAAGGCAACGAUGCAUAGCCGACCUGAGAGGGUGAUCGGCCACACUGGAACUGAGACACGGUCCAGACUCCUACGGGAGGCAGCAGUAGGGAAUCUUCAGCAAUGGGCGAAAGCCUGACGGAGCAACGCCGCGUGAGUGAUGAAAGUCUUCGGAUCGUAAAACUCUGUUAUUAGGGAAGAACAUAUGUGUAAGUAACUGUGCACAUCUUGACGGUACCUAAUCAGAAAGCCACGGCUAACACGUG
rnacentral:rRNA from 1 species